GAUGAACGCUGGCGGCGUGCCUAAUACAUGCAAGUCGAGCGAACGGACGAGAAGCUUGCUUCUCUGAUGUUAGCGGCGGACGGGUGAGUAACACGUGGAUAACCUACCUAUAAGACUGGGAUAACUUCGGGAAACCGGAGCUAAUACCGGAUAAUAUUUUGAACCGCAUGGUUCAAAAGUGAAAGACGUCUUUCUUUUACCUAAUAAUGGAUCCGCGCUGCAUUAGCUAGUUGGUAAGGUAACGGCUUACCAAGGCAACGAUGCAUAGCCGACCUGAGAGGGUGAUCGGCCACACUGGAACUGAGACACGGUCCAGACUCCUACGGGAGGCAGCAGUAGGGAAUCUUCCGCAAUGGGCGAAAGCCUGACGGAGCAACGCCGCGUGAGUGAUGAAGGUCUUCGGAUCGUAAAACUCUGUUAUUAGGGAAGAACAUAUGUGUAAGUAACUGUGCACAUCUUGACGGUACCUAAUCAGAAAGCCACGGCUAACUACGUG
rnacentral:rRNA from 1 species